AAACCUAUUCCAACAAAGUCAAUGAGCUGAACACGAGCUGGGGUCCACUCAUGUUCACUCGUUUAUUAAACAAGUCGAAUACGAGCUAAUUCGUUAAAAUAUCGAGCUAAAAAAUUCAGUUCUUGUUUGACUUGUUGAUAAACACGAGCUAACUAAUGAAAAGCAAAUUUGCUAGUAGAAUCUUAAUCUAAUAAUUGAGAUUCAUAAAAUAUAGAUUUCUUUACAUUUGGAUUUGCUGAAAAUCCAAAUAGUAAAAAUUUGUAAUAUAUAACGUUAUCUAAAUAGUAUAAAUAGUUUUCUAUUAAUAGAAAAAUUCAAGCGAUUUAGAUUAUUCCAGACUGUUGAAUAAGCAAGUAAAAAACUGUCAAUUUUGUGAUCCUUUGAUCACUAUGAAAAUAAUUUUUAAAAAUUAUAAAAUUUAGUUUUUAGAUACUUCAAAUAUUUUAGAUCAACUUUAACUAUUUCAAUCACCCAUUUGGAUCUCUAUCUUCUCUGCGGUUUCCUUCUGGUCCCUUUGAGCAAGGGAGAUCAAUCUGCCUGGGAUUCUUUUGCCUUGUAAUUUUUUUUUUUUUUUAAGAGAUAGAUAGCACGCUACCCGCUUCGUUUAUUUCAUUUAGAAAUAAACUUAACUGAAAAUGUGAAUCAACUAGGAUUCGAACUUGGGUUUCGGGUACCAACCACCAAACCCUUUGUCACUUGCUCUAGGGACGGUCGGUGAUU
rnacentral:lncRNA from 1 species